GACCAGGUAGCUGAGUAGGUUAAAGCAUUGUUCUGAUACACCAAGAUUGGGUUUCAAUUCCCGGUCA
rnacentral:tRNA from 1 species